rnacentral:lncRNA from 1 species
AUUUAAUAAUUAUUUUCUGCAAAAUCCUUUUAAUUACCACUGUGUAUGAAAUGUGCUAUAUAGAUUUGCCUUGCCUAUAAUCUCAAAACAUAUACCACUGAUCAAUCUCAAUAGCAUAAUUAAUAAUAAAAAAAAAUAUAACUGAGUCGGAGAGGAAACCAACAAUGAUUCAAUUAAUCACAAUUUGCACAUUUAAACGGCCUCUUUACCCUGAACUUUAACCUUGGGAACAUUUUCCACACAAUCACUUAGUUUUAGUUUGGUGUUUUGCAUUGCAAUACUAUUUUGUAUUUGAAAAAAUAUAUAUAUAUUGGUUAUUGACAAAUUGACAACAAAACUGACAAAAGAAUAUGCAAAACAUAGUUAUAGUUUCUGGUUGAAUCAUAUUAUUUAAUAAACAGUUAUGUUUAUGCUUUUUGUAUGGAGUUUCUCAACCAUUUGAAAUGGUUUGCAUUACUGUAAUGUUAAGGGAUGUAUUUUUCAUGUUAUUUAGUAGAAUUUUGCAGAAAUUUAGUAGAAUUUAGACCUGUAUAACACAGGUCUAAUGAAAUAUCUGACCACUAACACUCCUUUAUUUUCUUUUUGUUACAGCCUCUGCCCAAGGAGCCAUCCUAAAGGACUUCAGAUUGCGGUGAGGAGGUUUGCUGACAUUCACAGGAGCGACGCCAAACAGGAAUCAUCCAUCAGCCCCCACACAUUUGUGUCCAUCCUCUCAUUUCGGAGCUAAAGAUAUCAGCUGCCCCUCUCCCCGUCACCCUCCAACAGGAAAUGGAAUCUGUGCGCCAUGGUUGCAGUCAGUCAAGCGUCUCCACAGUUACAUGCAGGUCAUCGAGUCUCACAGCUGGGGACACACAACAUUUUCAAUCAAACCUUGACAUAAUUGAACUGUUUAAGUUUUGAUCUCAAAAUGCAUUAGCUAGGAGAACAUUUCACUCGCUUUCCAUCCAGUUAAACCGUCAGAGGAGACUGUUCGCGUACCUUUCAGACUAAGAUUACAUAAAUUCCUCGCGAAGAGCGGCGAGGCUGUUGCGUAAGAACCAUCUCAAAGGACCCCAACUGCGUUUUCAGAGCAAGGACAUGUUGUCGAUGAAAGGCCAAGGAUGUGCAGAGACCUAGAAAUGUACCACAGAGCUCGGGCUCUCUGUAAAAGGACGUGUUUUCCCAUGGAAUUGAGAAGCAGCAGAUGACUGAUGUGUCCUGUAGAUGUGACCUCACACGGUUUGACCAUAUGGAUUGUGUGCUGUUGAGCUCUGUCUGAGAACGGCAAUGCACUGAUGCCGUCAACUCUAAUCAUGGCUGAUUUAAAGAUUAGAAAACAAUGUGUGGAUGUCAUCUGUCCCUUCCUCUCUGGGGCAUCUCUUUCACUCUCUGCUUUAAAUGUCUGUCUCUAAUGGAUAUAUCAUUUCUAUCAAUACUUUAUUUUGACUGUAAAUUGACACUUGCGAUGGAGUGUUGACCUAGAUAGGAAAUAAAGGAUGUGUCUAUGUAAAUGUGCACAAGGCUUUUGGGACUCUCUCUAUACUGGGGGUCGUGUUGAUUUGCUUCUUAAAGUGCCCCUAUUAUGGAUUUUUGAAAAUUACCUUUCAUGCAGUGUGUAACACAGCUCUAAGUGAAUGAAAACACCCUGCAAAGUUUUAAAUCUGAAAGUGCACAGUGUAUAAAGUUAUUGUCUCUCAAAAGAAAGAGUCGACUCUGAAUCAUUGAAAUGAGUCGUUUUUAAAACGAAUCCCAAGCCUUUUCAUGCUGACGUCAACAUGAAACAUUAGCGUACUGCCCACCCACUUGCAGACCCGGGAAAACUUGGUCUGAAUGAAAUGCUAAUUCAUUCUUUGC